UAGGGAAUAUUGCGCAAUGGGGGAAACCCUGACGCAGCGACGCCGCGUGAGUGAUGAAGGCCUUCGGGUCGUAAAGCUCUGUUGCAAGGGAAUAAAAAAAUGAAUGUACCUUGUGAGGAAGGAUCGGCUAACUUCGUGCCAGCAGCCGCGGUAAGACGAGGGAUCCUAGCGUUGUUCGGAAUCAUUGGGCGUAAAGCGGGCGUAGGUGGCUUGGUAAGUCAGGUGUGAAAGCCCAGGGCUCAACCCUGGAAGUGCAUCUGAUACUGCUAAGCUUGAGUGUUGGAGAGGUCACUGGAAUACCUGGUGUAGUGGUGAAAUACGUAGAUAUCAGGUGGAACACCGGAGGCGAAGGCGGGUGACUGGCCAAACACUGACACUGAAGCCCGAAAGCGUGGGGAUC
rnacentral:rRNA from 1 species